ensembl:lncRNA
GGAAACUAUAACAGUCAUUAUUGUGAUACUGUAACAAAAAAGUGUUUCCGAGUGUCAGUUUUUUGAGCGCUGUAAGGUCUUGUUGUUUUGCAAGGGUGAUAAUGAAUGAUUCACAUGGCAGAAUUCAGACAGGACAACUGUUUCCAACUGGAGAGGGUGCAUUAUGAUGUCAUAGCUGAUGAAGUUUAUAAAAUAGUUAGAAAGGCUUAACUUUAUUAGAAAGUGUUCAGUGAUAUAUUUGACACUGUCCCUAUCGAGGCCUACAAACAUUCAAUUGUCUGUCUUUCUUUCUCCCUGCAGUCCUCCCUCUUCCUCAUCCUCUGGAAGGAAACCCCUUCUUUCCUGUUCACAUAAGAAACUUUGACUGGCAUUUUGGAAUGAAUUUCAAGACAGGACAACGAAAGAUAAAGGUUGAGUAAACUGCGCUAUUGCCAUCCUAUCCAUCUCACUGCGUUCUCAAGGUGAGAAAAAGAACGCCCACCGCGACGAACAGAGAAUCUUUUAUUCGGGAAAAGGAGAGAAGAGAAAUUUAUCAAACAAUUACAUUUCUGCAUGCACUGGGCCAUAAGGCAUGCCCACGUGAGGUGGAAAAUGCGACGUCUGAUCGGUUCACAAGUCUUCCCAGUAAGAAACAAGAAAUAUCUCAGGCACUGAACAUCGCAUAUAACUCUACCUUUGAGCUCUUCAAGAAGAACAGAACCCACUGCCACUGGAAUAACAAUUCAUUCCAAGAACUAAUGGAACAUCUCCACCGACAAGCUAAAUUAAAUUCCGUCCCGGUGGAGAUGAGCUCUGAACUUGAGACGUUGGUUGAAAACUUCAAGAAGCUCGAUCAGUUUCUCACACAGCAGAAUUUCAGCUGCUGCGCGUGGGAAACUGUGCGCCAGGACAUCCUGAUCGUUAUGGACCACUUCAGAAGAAUGACUAGAAGAAUGACUAGAAGAAAGAAUAGAUAAAAAUCACUAGAAUAAGAUCAAUUUAAUACAAUGAGUGCCGUAAAUUAAAU